GACGAACGCUGGCGGCGUGCUUAACACAUGCAAGUCGAACGGAAAGGCCCUGCUUUUGUGGGGUGCUCGAGUGGCGAACGGGUGAGUAACACGUGAGUAACCUGCCCUUGACUUUGGGAUAACUUCAGGAAACUGGGGCUAAUACCGGAUAGGAGCUCCUGCUGCAUGGUGGGGGUUGGAAAGUUUCGGCGGUUGGUGAUGGACUCGCGGCUUAUCAGCUUGUUGGUGGGGUAGUGGCUUACCAAGGCUUUGACGGGUAGCCGGCCUGAGAGGGUGACCGGCCACAUUGGGACUGAGAUACGGCACAGACUCCUCCGGGAGGCAGCAGUGGGGAAUAUUGCACAAUGGGCGGAAGCCUGAUGCAGCAACGCCGCGUGCGGGAUGACGGCCUUCGGGUUGUAAACCGCUUUCGCCUGUGACGAAGCGUGAGUGACGGUAAUGGGUAAAGAAGCACCGGCUAACUACGUG
rnacentral:rRNA from 1 species